AAUAAGAUAGGAUAAGUUUAGUCUGAUAGGUUCAUACCCUAAAGGUGAUCUUGUUA
rnacentral:tRNA from 1 species